rnacentral:lncRNA from 1 species
AACGCACGCGCCAGACCCUCGCAAGUCCCGCUCACUUUUUUCUCUUGCUCGAGCCCAGCUCUGCUGCCCCGGCGCGAGCUACAAGUGGGUCACCUCGAGGCGAGGAAAGCGAGCGGACUGGACGGAGGGAGGGAGGGAGGGAGGGAGGGCCCUCUGACGGGGAGGCCGGGCUGGGCCGCGCGCGAGGAGCCGACGGCCAAUCAGCAGCGCCCUGCGCGGCGCAAUCCGGGCACAUGUGGGGAGCGGGAGACCCGUGGUUCCUGCGCCUCACAGCGCCUGGCAGGAGUCCCAGGCGACGUCGCCCCAAAAUCUGCCACCGACUGCCCAGAGACCUGGCUUGAGCGCUCGCACGUGCAGCUCCUUAGAAGGUUUCUCGGGGCACGAAGUCGCCACAGGGAACCUGAGGCGUUGCCAGACAAUCGGAAGGUCCCGAGAAUGUCUGUUUUUGCGGGAUUCCCACCCAGGGCAGUUACCACGGUAGUUGUCGCCACGUGGUAGGCUUCCUACAAAUCUGAUAAAAGGGAAAGGGCAAAUAGCUACUGGCAAACAGGGUCAGGGAGAAAUCUGCAAAUAAAGACAUUUUCUCCCCUCCCGGAGUAAAGUUGCCUAGAAUGGCUGGAUGGCUCGUGAUGGGCAACCUUUCUGCCUUUGACCUCAUCUUUCAAAACUACUGGUGGAUAAAUGCAGCCCUGCUGCACGAAAAUGCAUUGCCUUCCAUACACUUAUUUUUCUCCCUUUUAAAGAUGGGUGAAAAAGUUCACGUUCGCAACCUUGCAGCUAUGGGAGACAGCAGUUGUGUUGCGUCAUUCUUGACAUCACAGAUAAUAUCCAGCAUGUGCCUGUGUGACACUGGUGCAAACUAUACUCCAAAGAACAAUUGCAACAGGCACCUCUGUGGCAAGAUAAAUAGCUUUCUCGGGGAAGAUAAGCACACAAACUCUAUACAAAAUAUAACAUGUUCCCUAGCACAUUCAGUCUUCAAACAGAAUAUCCCGAGGCACAGCCAGGAGCAAAGAUGUGUGGACUUUGCAGAGCAAAUGGAUAACACUAUGAUUAAAAACUGAUAAUCAUUUUUACUAUGUUAAAGGAAGUUCCUAGACCCGAUAGAGACAAUAUUUUCUGAGAAUGGGGCAUUAGUGCUCUAAGUUCUAUAGGGCUGGAUUGUCAUGUUUAGGGCCUCAGUGUAAUUGGUUAAUUUAAAAUAUUUAAAUGGAGUCGAAAUAUGCCCUUGAAUGAUCAGAUAGCAAAUUUUGAAGAAAAGCUGUUAAUUAUUUUUAGUGCAAGUGCUUACAAAAACUGUGGGUGGCAGACAUGGACGUAGUAGCCAGGAUUUUUGUUGGGGUGGGGCAGCCAAAGUGGUGGCAGAUGUUGCUGUGGCUUUAAGAAGGUGUGUUGCUCCUCCUGUCCUGCAGGAGGGAAUGUCUCAUCUAAGACGGUGCCUGCUGUGAAACAUGAAUGCAUCAUCUAAAAGCAAAGGAAUAAUGCUUUUAUUAUUUUAUUCAUGAAUGCAGAUUUAAUCAAAUAAUUAUAACUCGUACGGUUAAUGAAUAAACUACUAAGCUUAUCAGUUGAAGGACCAGAAGCACAAUAAGUGAUUGAAAAUGAAAGUGCAGCGCUCAUGAACUGAGUUGUGCAAAAGCACAAGAAGAAUGUAAAUCCAGCUAACGUUAAUUUAAAAAUUAAGUUAAUGUAAGAGUCAAAAUUGCAAAACAUUUGGGGGGGGGUCUUUACUUUGCUGGCAUACAGCCUGAGUCCACUUUUCGCAAGGGCAAAGGGUUUUAACCCUCAGUCCCCCUUGGAAAUUCUGGCACUCCCUCUAUUUGUUUCUUCCCUUCUAGAACAAAAUGUGAAAUGGUCAUUGCAAAAAAAGCACUUUGUGGAAAUGACCUUUUUAUCGCCACUCUUGCAGGACAGAGAACUUGUUUCUUUACAAGUAGCAUCAUGGGAAUUAAUGGAUUCCUCCAACCCCACCACUUAAAAAAAGAGAAGAAGCUGGAACAAAUGAUUCCCUUAACUAUUCUGUCCAAAUAACUUUUGGGGAAGAUUGUUUGUUUGUCUGUCUGUUUGAUUAGUAUCUGAAGGUUUUUGUAGGCUACCUUUCAUCCAAAUGUAUCCUGGGAGAUGGGGGUUCAUGUUAGGGAAUUAUGGUAACAUAUAAUUGUGUAAUGGGUAAAAUAUUAUCCCCAAAAAUCAAUUAUUAGGGAUGGAACACGCCUUCCCUUUCUUUUCAGCAUAUGGAUAUGAAGCAGAUGAUUUUCCUAAUUACCCCUGUG